GAUGAACGCUGGCGGCGUGCCUAAUACAUGCAAGUCGAGCGAACAGAUGAGGAGCUUGCUCCUCUGACGUUAGCGGCGGACGGGUGAGUAACACGUGGAUAACCUACCUAUAAGACUGGGAUAACUUCGGGAAACCGGAGCUAAUACCGGAUAAUAUAUUGAACCGCAUGGUUCAAUAGUGAAAGACGGUUUUGCUGUCACUUAUAGAUGGAUCCGCGCCGCAUUAGCUAGUUGGUAAGGUAACGGCUUACCAAGGCAACGAUGCGUAGCCGACCUGAGAGGGGGCUCGGCCACACGGGAACGAGACCCGGCCCCAGCCCCCGCGGGGGGGCGGCAGUGGGGAAUCUGCCGAAGGGGGGGAAAACCUGACGGAACAAGCCCGCGGGAGUGAUAAAGGUCUUGGGCGCGAAAACCUUGUUUUUGGGGGAAAAAAAAUUUUGUAAUAAACAGUGCGCUUCUUGACGGUACCUAAUAAAAAAGCCCGGGCUAACUAGGUG
rnacentral:rRNA from 1 species